UACGUAGGGUGCAAGCGUUGUCCGGAAUUACUGGGCGUAAAGAGCUCGUAGGUGGUUUGUCGCGUUGUUCGUGAAAUCUCACGGCUUAACUGUGAGCGUGCGGGCGAUACGGGCAGACUGGAGUACUGCAGGGGAGACUGGAAUUCCUGGUGUAGCGGUGAAAUGCGCAGAUAUCAGGAAGAACACCCGUGGCGAAGGCGGUUCUCUGGGACGGUACUGACGCUGAGACGCGAAAGCGUGGGGAGCGAACAGG
rnacentral:rRNA from 1 species